rnacentral:sRNA from 1 species
UACUGUUUCAUCGCGAGGACUGUACCCAC